CUUAUGUUCCUGACAAGCCAGGCUGGCCCUGAAUAAAUACCACUUCAUCAUGAACACAACCCAACUGUAGAUACAGGUUAAAGUCAAUGAAUGAGCUUCAGUUUGCCACUACACAAAUAAAACAAAAAAAUGUAUAGUGAUUUUUUUCUUCAGUCAAAUCACCAUGGAUAGAGUCUUCUGCAUCAUUCCAAGCACCAGACUACCUUUGUGACAGGCUGGGACCUCGACCAAUUGCUGCAGUGCUUGCACCUGGACAAAUGUCUCCUUAAGCAACAAAAUGCAAAGAAAUGAUAAGGGACUAAAAAUAAAUACACGGUUGGGCAGUUGGGGCAAACUAUGGACAAGACAACACAAAAAGACCACAAAAUUCAAGUGCCAUUUCUGAAGAGCAGGGAGAAAAACAAGGUGUUGGGAGCAAAAUCAAAUACUGCGCAUGCCCCUUGCACUCACCACCAAAGGCAUGGGCCAAGCACCUAAGCCACCCCUUGGCUGGAUCCCUGGACACACCCCUCAUUCACUCCUUUAAGGAACCAGCUCAUCACACCCCAGUGAGGGAGUAAGCAAGGGCAACUGCUACUUGUUUUUGUCCCCCAACUGCUGUAGCAGGGGCCCCAAUAAAGCCUUGCCUGAA